GGUAAGAUGGCUGAGUGUUGAGGCGUUAGGUUGUAAACCUUUUUACGGGUUCGAUUCCCUUCUUAUCG
rnacentral:tRNA from 1 species